ACCUACAGAUCCACUGCUUGGGAAGCCCCACCAGGGCGGCCAAUAAAAAGUAGGACAGGAACAGGAUCUCUUGCCAUUGGGUGUGAUUCGACUCUGCCCCUCAGAGUGAAUCUGGAGAUUCUACAGCA
rnacentral:snoRNA from 1 species